UACGUAGGGUGCAAGCGUUGUCCAGAAUUAUUGGGCGUAAAGAGCUCGUAGGCGGUCUGUCGCGUCUGCUGUGAAAACUCGGGGCUUAACCCCGGGCCUGCAGUGGGUACGGGCAGACUAGAGUGCGGUAGGGGAGACUGGAAUUCCUGGUGUAGCGGUGAAAUGCGCAGAUAUCAGGAGGAACACCGGUGGCGAAGGCGGGUCUCUGGGCCGUAACUGACGCUGAGGAGCGAAAGCGUGGGGAGCGAACAGG
rnacentral:rRNA from 1 species